GCAGUGUUCCCAUAAUGGAAUUGGAACCGGUUGCUAUCCGGUCGGGCGUUUUUCGCCUUGUAGGUUCGAAUCCUACACACUGCG
rnacentral:tRNA from 1 species